CACGUAGGCGGACUUUUAAGUCAGGGGUGAAAUCCCGGGGCUCAACCUCGGAACUGCCUUUGAUACUGGAAGUCUGGAGUCCGAGAGAGGUGAGUGGAACUCCGAGUGUAGAGGUGAAAUUCGUAGAUAUUCGGAAGAACACCAGUGGCGAAGGCGGCUCACUGGCUCGGUACUGACGCUGAGGUGCGAAAGCGUGGGGAGGCAAAACA
rnacentral:rRNA from 1 species